rnacentral:rRNA from 1 species
AUUGAACGCUGGCGGCAGGCCUAACACAUGCAAGUCGAACGAGUGGCGGACGGGUGAGUAAUGUCUGGGAAACUGCCUGAUGGAGGGGGAUAACUACUGGAAACGGUAGCUAAUACCGCAUACCAUCAGAUGUGCCCAGAUGGGAUGAGCUAGUAGGUGGGGUAAAGGCUCACCUAGGCGAAGAUCCCUAGCUGGUCUGAGAGGAUGACCAGCCACACUGGAACUGAGGAACGGUCCAGACUCCUACGGGAGGCAGCAGUGGGGAAUAUUGCACAAUGGGCGAAAGCCUGAUGCAGCCAUGCCGCGUGUAUGAAGAGGGACUUCGGGUUGUAAAGAACUUUCGGCGGGGAGGCGUUACCCGCAGAAGAAGCACCGGCUAACUCCGUGCCAGCAGCCGCGGUAAUAC